rnacentral:tRNA from 1 species
GGGACGGUGGCUCAGUGGUAGAGUGCUUGCCUUGCAUGCAUGAGGCCCUGGGUUCGAUUCCUCAGCGCCA